rnacentral:rRNA from 1 species
CAGCCGCCACGGUAAUACGAAGGGUGCAAGCGUUACUCGGAAUUACUGGGCGUAAAGCGUGCGUAGGUGGUGGUUUAAGUCCGUUGUGAAAGCCCUGGGCUCAACCUGGGAAUUGCAGUGGAUACUGGGUCACUAGAGUGUGGUAGAGGAUAGUGGAAUUUCCGGUGUAGCAGUGAAAUGCGUAGAGAUCGGAAGGAACAUCUGUGGCGAAGGCGACUAUCUGGGCCAACACUGACACUGAGGCACGAAAGCGCGGGGAGCAAACAGGAUUAGAGACCCCCGUAGUCCCUGUCUCUUAUAC